rnacentral:rRNA from 1 species
GACGAACGCUGGCGGCGUGCCUAAUACAUGCAAGUGGGACGCAAGGAAACACACUGUGCUUGCACACCGUGUUUUCUUGAGUCGCGAACGGGUGAGUAACGCGUAGGUAACCUGCCUAUUAGCGGGGGAUAACUAUUGGAAACGAUAGCUAAUACCGCAUAAUAUUAAUUAUUGCAUGAUAAUUGAUUGAAAGAUGCAAGCGCAUCACUAUUAGAUGGACCUGCGUUGUAUUAGCUAGUUGGUAAGGUAAGAGCUUACCAAGGCGACGAUACAUAGCCGACCUGAGAGGGUGAUCGGCCACACUGGGACUGAGACACAGCCCAGACACCUACGGGAGGCAGCAGUAGGGAAUCUUCGACAAGGGACGAAAGUCUGACCGAGCAACGCCGCGUGAGUGAAGAAGGUUUUCGGAUCGUAAAGCUCUGUUGUAAGUCAAGAACGUGUGUGAGAGUGGAAAGUUCACACAGUGACGGUAGCUUACCAGAAAGGGACGGCUAACUACGUG